GAUGAACGCUAGCGGCAGGCUUAAUACAUGCGAGUCGAGGGGCAGCAGGACUGUAGCCAUCCAGUUGCUGGCGACCGGCAAACGGGUGCGGAACACGUACGCAACCUACCCAAAACUGGGGGAUAGCCCGGGGAAACCCGGAUUAAUACCUCGUAACCUUUUUAAGUGGCAUCACUUGAUAAGUAUAGCUCCGGCGGUUUUGGAUGGGCGUGCGCCUGAUUAGGUAGUUGGUGCGGGUAACGGCCCACCAAGCCUGCGAUCAGUAACUGGUGUGAGAGCACGACCAGUCACACGGGCACUGGGACACGGGCCCGACUCCUACGGGAGGCAGCAGUAAGGAAUAUUGGUCAAUGGACGCAAGUCUGAACCAGCCAUGCCGCGUGAAGGAUGAAGGUCCUCUGGAUUGUAAACUUCUUUUAUGGGGGACGAAACCCGGAUAUUCUUAUCCGAUUGACGGUACCUCAGGAAUAAGCACCGGCUAACUCCGUG
rnacentral:rRNA from 1 species